ACUACAAGCUGAUAGCUCUGGUUUGUGAUCUUUUUCCUUCCGGCAUGGAAGCAUUCACAGGUACCGUCAAGGCUGAACUGUGUCAUUGCCCACCCCCUCGCCCAAGUUCAUGUUGAAUCUUAAUCUUCAGGACCUAAAAAGGUAAAAAUUAAGGAUCAAAGGGCUAAACACCUAAAGGAAUGCCAAAGACCCCAGGGCUAAUCAGGAGCAGGGGCUCCUCAUUCUGCAGAACUGGCUUUGAUGAAAGCUCCCAAUAUUGGAUGACUUCUGCAAAGACAC